rnacentral:rRNA from 1 species
AUGUCGACCUCCUCGUCAGCCCCCCGUUCCACGUGGCCGGUGUAUGGUCCAGUGCCGAUGACUCGAUGCACUGACCGCCCACGGACUGCGCCACUGAAGCGGUUGACUUCGAAGGAGGAGAAGAAUGGGAACUUUGGGCGCGAGUUCGUCAAAUGCGAGAGCAAGCCGGAGGGGCAGAUCGUGAAGAAAUGCCACCAUUUCGAGUGGAUGGAUGAUUACAUCCAGAGGCUUCAAAGGUUGGGCUUGCUGGAUUCGAGGGGGAAUGCAAUCCGCGAGUUCAAUCUGCCCCAUGACAGUGCCGCUCCGGCAGCAGCAGCGCGUCCGGAAUACCCGACGGUGGUAGAUGUCGAACUGAAGACGGAAUUGAAGAAGAUGAACAAGAACUUCAAGCAGCUGAUUGAGUUGAAGAAGCAAUCCAAUCUAAUAGCUUUAGGAAUACUUGCUCUAGGAAUUUUUUACUUGAUGGCCAUCUCUCGUUAG